AUCCAGCUGACUAGUCCUAAAUAAGACGAAGCACACGUUCUGGAU
rnacentral:hammerhead_ribozyme from 1 species